CAAUUUUCAGCGAACGACUUACAUUCUGUCUAAAAUUCGCUUAGCAGGACUAAUAAGUAGAGUAAUUAAAGCUCUUUUCUUUAUACGUGUAAACGGUAAGAGUGAGAAACAGUGAAACACUUUUGUUUUUAUGAUUGGAAAUGUUUUUCUUACUUAUAAUUUUACCAUCAGAUGAUUUUGGAUUUCUGGCGAUUCGUGACAUUGUAGGUCAUUGAUGAGGUGUGGGCAAGUCAGCAGUGACACCUGGAGUGCAUCCAGGAUCCACCAGACAUGAGCAUGUACAGAGUAGCAUGUAGCACGACCAUCAACGCCGUAUUAAAAAUGUCUGCGUGGAAGCAACAGCCUGGAAGGAUUUCACAAAUCUCUGCCUAAUAUGAUUCCAGGUACACAAAUGUAGUCUGUAUACUUUUAACAAAGGAAAUUAUUCGUUCUAAUACACUUUAUUGAGACUUUCAGGUUUACCUGAUAAGCGGCAUUGCGCGGUGGAACGCGGACAGGAGCAGUGUUUGGUGGCAAAGGACGGCACCACAGGGUAUACUCCGUGCCGCUGAUCGACCGCCUCAACACCCGGUGUCAGCAGCUGUUUGGAGAAACCGUGGAGGAGAAUUUCCGGGCCCCUGCAGACGUGGAUUCCGAGGAGCUGCUCGGGUUGGAGUACCUCUUCAGCCAGAGCACGGGCGAAUCGGGACCCUUCUCCCUCCAGGACAUCGUCAACGACGGACCUGGUCCCGAGGAAGAGGUGGUUCAGCCUGGACACCCCGAUACAAGCGAGGACGACGAGGCGUACCAGAGCGACGUGGAGAUGCGAGACGGCGUUCUGGAUGUCGCCCCGUCCCGCAUCACUCUCACGGCCCAUGACACAUCCACUGUAAACCCACCGGCAUUUGAGGAUGCCUGCAGUCCUAACCCUCUUCCUGGCUUUCAAAAGCUAGAAACGUUCUGCUCCUUGCUGGUGGAGAUCUGCCUUGCAGAAAACAAGCUUUCACUUACCACUGAGCAGAGGUGCAAAAUCCUUGAAGCCUGGAAUGCAGUGAAGGAACAUGAUAAGCAGCCACAGAAGUUUAAAUCAGCUGUACAGGACCCACUGGGGUAAACACCCUCUACUGUCGUACUAAAAGGGUUGAUCUUGUUGCCGCCGCCGUCAUCCAGAGGGUCGAGAUGGCUAAGCGUUACGCGCUGGCUCAACAUGACCUCAUUCUCAGCACAACAGGCUGAUGUACGUACUGGUGAAACUGCUGUGGUUGCGGGCUCCUCGAUCAUCUUGCACCAGCCCAGAGAAGAGCGCGAUCUUGAAGUCAUACGAGAGAAUUCAACACCGGAUUUUGGUGGAUGAUCCAGUCCUGUGUAAAGCAGGUGUUCCUCUUCCAAAAAUAAACAUCAAGACAGUGCGGGACUUCAUCCGCCAUCAAGAGAGGCUCCUUAACCUGCAUGCUACAAAAUGGUCAUUCGCCAUCACAAAGACCACCUCUGUCUCUUCUGCAGAGCUACCUCCAGCACCACACCAGCCAGCAGUGCCCUUUGGAUAUUGCCUGCCAGUCAGACGUGCACAGCACUGGCACAUCUGUGAUCUGGGCAAGAUCUACGGACUAUAAUCAUAACAGGAAACACCCAUCAGAAUUAGGAGCUAAACUGUCAAGGGUGCAAAAUCCUCCAGUUUGUACACUCUGUGGCCAACCAUCCCAGGGACAUAAAAAAUAUAAAAAAAAACCUUUCUGCUCUGCAAAAAUGAUGUUCCCAUCAAAAGUACUGGAAAACACGGUGUAUGAAUGUUACCAACACUUUAUCUCUGUCAACCAGCUGAAAGCUGAAGGGCCAUACAAUCUGUAACGUUUUUAAAUGGUUGUGUGUGUGUGUUUUCCCAGUUAGUGCAUUAUGUGGAAAAAUAAUGUGCCCUCUAUUCUUGUACACAACUAUUAUAAUUACAAAUUGUCUGUUUAAAUUUGUUUCAACUAUAACGCUAGUACAUAGUUGGAUUUCAUUGUAUAAAAUGUAAAUAUUUUUUAUACUAAAAUUAUACUAAUUAUUACUUUUUUCUUAAUCACGUUCAGUGAUCUUGUACUUGCUACACUUUUUUUUCGUGUUGCCCAUU